GAGUUUGAUCCUGGCUCAGAUUGAACGCUGGCGGCGUGCUUAACACAUGCAAGUCGAGCGGUAACAGGCGUAGCAAUACGUGCUGACGAGCGGCGAACGGGUGAGUAAUGCUUCGGAAUCUUCCUCGUAGUGGGGAAUAACCUGGGGAAACUCAGGCUAAUACCGCAUACGAACUACGGUUGAAAGCAGGGGAUCGCAAGACCUUGCGCUAUGAGAUGAGCCGAAGUCGGAUUAGCUAGUUGGUGAGGUAACGGCUCACCAAGGCGACGAUCCGUAGCUGGUCUGAGAGGACGACCAGCCACACUGGGACUGAGACACGGCCCAGACUCCUACGGGAGGCAGCAGUGGGGAAUAUUGGACAAUGGGGGCAACCCUGAUCCAGCGACGCCGCGUGUGUGAAGAAGGCCUGCGGGUUGUAAAGCACUUUUAGUGGGGAUGAAAAGCCGAAGGCUAAUACCUUUCGGUCUUGACCUAACCCAAAGAAAAAGCACCGGCUAACUCUGUGCCAGCCGCCGCGGU
rnacentral:rRNA from 1 species